GGAGGAGAGAACAGGAGGACGGGGGGCUGAGGAGGGAGGGAAGAGAAAAUGCAAAUCGAAUUUCAUUGGCCUGUAGCCCCCUUAGAUCUCCAUGCUCCCAGAGGUGGUGACACACUUGUAUUCAGCGGCCAUCACCGGUCUUGCUCGUAAAAGUCCGAUUUCGAUGUGGGCACGCUUUCCUGAGUGCCGCGAGUCUCUGGAAUUACCCUAAACUUCCUCUUUGCUUUGCAGUGAUGGAGAAGUAGGAACACCCCACUGACAGGAAUGGUAGCCUCCCAUGCAGAAGCGGGAGUGUGCUCAGCCUCAUGCGAUGUGUCCGUAUUUCAUCCUCCAUAGUGAAAAAGGCAAACAGCCAUCAUCUUUCUGGGGCUGUGUGUGCAGGAACUACAUGGAUGAAAACGAGCUGUGUAGGGAUUCAAUGCACUCUACCUGCAAAAUGACAACAGUUGUGGCUUUUCUAUCCUUUUGGGUCCAAACAAGGAGCAGAAUGGUCUGUAGCUAAUAUUUUAGGAUUUGAUGCAACAGCUGGUAGACUGUAUUUCUUUUACUCUGGGAAAAGAUUUAAAGCUCUAGGUCCUGGAUGGGAAGUAUCUUAUCUGGACUUCUUAUAAACAUAUAACUCUUCAGUUUCCCCCCCCCCCACCCCCCACCACCUCAAGUUCAUCAAUCAUAUUGAAUUUUAAAAGAUAUCCCUAUUGUCCUACUUUAAUGUAAUGUAAUUUUAUUUAUUAAACGUAUUAUAUAGUAUUUAAUUGAAUAGUAUAGUAUUUAAUACAUUAAAAAAAAAGAACAAGGAAAAAUAUAAAAGUUACCCCUGUAUCCACCACUCAGCUCACGAAAUAAAACACUGGGAACAAAGUUAAAUUCCCAGUAGGUUCCAUGCCUUCUUGAUAGAGCCUGUUAUUCCUAAGAGGUUAUUUCCUGAGAGACUGGGGACCCGGAUGCUUGGCUCUGCACCUCUUUGCAAAGCCAUGGAAAUGACCCUUGUGUCUCCAGCCUCUGUGCUGUCAGAGUCAGGGGUGAUCACGUGGUUUUCGAGGUUUUAUGUUCGCCAUGUAGUGUCUGCACCUUGGCUAUGACUUCUGGGCAUUUUUCCUCCGGCCUCAUUGUCAGAUGGAAAUGCACAUAUCUUCCCAUGACUGCCUCUUCCAGAGUGUUCAGUGUGAGAGCCCCAAACUCUUAACCAUAGUUCUGCAUUAUGGCUGGCCAAAGAGGCCAAGGGUUGCUGGGAAAGCUCUCUGGACUUGAGACAGACUUGAAUUAUUGAGGAAAAAGGGGUGCCACUGGCUCCUGAAGCCUCAGCCCUACAGUGACAACUGUGUGCUGCAGACUGACCCCAGUUUGAGCCGGUCCUGGGGCUGGGUGAAUGUCCAGGUGUCUCUCCCCUUGGCUUCUUUUGAACAUAAUCGUCCCGGCUGGAGAGCUGUGGACCAGUGCUUCUUCAGGCCCCCAUCUGAGUUCUCCCGUCAUGGGUCAUUUCUGGUGAAGACAGUACUCAGAAUAUUAACUGUCUUUUACAUUAUCCUGGGGACAUGCAUCUUAGGUAAAAAUAAUACAUUCAGGCCCAGUGACUUUAAAGAUAGGGGGAAAAAUACAGAAAACUUGAGGAGUCAUUUGCCCUGUUGCUCCUACAUAUUGCAGCCCAAUAAACACAUUCCUAUACUUAUUUAUGGUGUAGACCACUCAUUUUUCCUUACACGGGAAUCUUAUUAAAACAAUAAAUCAAUGUUAACCUGGGUUUUAAAUUGGCCCAAUAUGUUUAGAGAACUUGCUGGUUUAAUUUUCCUAUUUUUCAUUUUCAGUUAACUAAUUUCGUUUUCCCAGUUGGGAUACCACAACCUUAGCAUGUGGAUUUAUCUUGAAACCAGGAAGCCCUGACAUACAUCGCUGCCCAAACAAGAGGAAUCCCAGCGUUCUAUCCUAUAAUGAACAAGAAAAAAGCGUAUAUCCAGAAGAUAUCUAUCCUGAUGAUUGCAAAGUGCUUAAGCCUAGGCUCUGAGAAAAAGCACCAACUGCCUUCAAGUUCUUCUGGGUAUUCUGUUCUAUGUUUUCUUCACAUCUCCUUUGACUGAAAAUUUCCAGUGCAUCUGUGUUUAUGGACUGAAUGUUUAUGUCCCCCCCCCCAGCCCAAAUUUGUAUGUCGAAGCCCUAGCCCCAACAUAACUGUAUUUGGAAAUAGGGUAGGACCCUGAUCCAGUAGGAUUCGUGUCCUUAUAAGAAGAGGCACCAUCAGAGCACUCUCCUGUCCCUCUCUCCCUGUCUCCCUCUCCCUUUCCCUAGCACAGGCAAGAAAAGAUCACGUGAACACAAAGCAAGAUGGCAGCCACCUACAAACCAAGAGAAGAGGCCGCAGAAUGAAACCUAUUUUGCCAACACCUUGAUCUGGGACUUCCAGCCUCUAGAACUGUGAGAAAAUAAGUUUCUGUUGUUUAAGCCAUCCAGUUUGUGACAAUUUCUUAUGGUAGCCCAAACAGAUUAAGACACCCCCCCCUCCCCCAGCAAUGUUUUCCCAGAAACAUGGCAACAAUUGCUGGUGCCCCUCCCCCCCUUAAGGACUGCUUGGUGUCCCCACACAUGGGUACGACUGGAGAGAUCUUGGCUCUCUAAGGGGCCCACACCACCACAGCUUGAGGAGGAUGCAACACAGCCCAAGGCCCCAGAGGAUGACUGAGGACCAGAUACUAAGGGAAGCUUUUUUUCAGCCAUCAACCCCUAGAGGAAUAUGUGUGUGUGAGUGUGUAUGUGUAUGUGUGUGUGCGUGUAUGUCUGUUGAGGGGUAACUUUUUCAAAGGGUCCAUACUAGAAAUGUCUUCGAGUUCAGGGCUGCGUGGGACUUGUUCUCCACCCUCAAGUAUGCAACCAGAGUGUGAAUGUUGGCCUUAGAAGAUACCAGCUCAGUGAGGGCUGUAUCUGGGGAAGCUGUUCGAUUUCAUGGAAAGAGCAUUGGCUCUAGAGUCAGACAAAGCUGGGUUCCAAUUCAAGCUUUUUAGGGCAUGCAUCAAAAUAGUGUAAGCAAAGGCUGUAUUGGCUCAUGUCACUGAAAAAUCCAAGGAGUUGUUAUGCUUUCAGGCACAGCAACAUCAAGGCCCUCAAAAGAUGUUAUUGGAAAUCUGUGUUCUAUCUUUCCAUGCUAUUUCUCCAAUGGCUUCACUCUGGGGUCUUCCUCAGUAGCUAUAGACUCAUGUGAUCCUUAGUACUCAGGAUGGGUGGAGGAAGGAGAGAGUCUCUUUCCAAGGGGUACAACAAAGACUUGGUGACAUUGCUGAUUGGCCAAUUCUAAAUCACAUAUUCACCCCUGGGUGGGAUGGGGCGGGUGGGGACUCCCAAUUAAACCUGGAAGAGAUGAUACUGUUACUUAAGGAGGAAGUGAUGCAAGUCAGGCCAAAUCAACAGAUGUCUACAUAGACAUUAAAGGACUGUGUGAUUCUAAGCAAGUUGUUUAACCUCUUUGAUCCUCAAGUUCCCCUUUUAUAGAAUGGUUAUAUGAGUACCUGCCACCAAGGAAGCUACACAAAGCUCAAGGCACAGAAUGGAGGUGUAAUAACUGUUAACUUUCUUCUUGCUUCCUUUUCCUGUUCUUGGCCUUCUCCUGGAGGCCGGGGAAUGUACCAGGUUUGCCUUGACUGGUAUUGAAGAUGUCAUGCUGUUUCAGGUUGGGGAUCCUUGAGCAGUAUGAAGACUUCAGAAUACACUCAAUGGAGUUCCCUUGCCAGGGGUCUGUUGCAUUUGGCAAUGGUGGCCUCCAGGGCACAUCGGACUCUGAGUUGGGCUCUUCUCUGGUUGGGCUCAGCCCUGGGACAUCCGGAAAGGCUGGCGGAGGCCUUGCAAAGGGCAAGUGACGUCUGCAGUUGUCUGGAAAGGAGAGCUUACAACUGCAGCAGCUGUGGGCUCAUGGGGAUUAGCCAGGGCUAAGAAGGAGGCAGGACUCCGAGUGCACCGAAGAUUUUGGAACGUCCUAAGCCUGGGAAAAUGAAGUGGACCCUGGCUACUCCCAAUAGGAGCACUGGAAACAACCCAAAUGCAUAUCAAUAGCAGAUUAAACAAUCAUGCUAAUUCCAUACAAGGGGACUCUAUGGUGUUAAGAAAAGAGAGAAGCCGUUCUCCAUGUAUUGAUGUCGAAAGAUGUCCACUACUGAGAGCCAAGUUUAAAAAGAAAAAGGCAAAGUAAAAACAGCACUACGUACGUUCUCAUUUCAAUUUAUAUGUACUAUAAAGAUCCAUAAUAGCAUGCACUGAAAAAAAGUAUCUGGAUGAAUAUAAACCAAGCAGUGUUUAUCUCUGAGGUUAUAGGGACUUUCACUGUUUUAUGGCAUGCACUUUGUAAUUUUUAUUACAGCCAUGUGUUACUUUUAUUAUCAGAAAUAACAACAAUGAUUCUUAAAAUAAGAAAAAAAAUCUUGAUCAGAAGAAAGUACUGCACACUCAUUCUUAAAAACAACUGACACCAGAGAUCUUGUGAUGUUAUUCUUGAAAAUCAAGGGAUUCUACUGAACAGGUUUGCACACCAGUGACUGGAUUUGGGAAAGUUGUUUUUGGUUUUUUUGGUUGUUUUUUUUGUUUGGUUUUUGGUUUUUUUUUUUGCUUAUGUAGUGCAAUGCUGCUGCCCAUGAUUAAAACAUAUUUUUUUCCAUGGGUUGGAGAAGUAGUAGCCUAAUAGCUUAUUUCCUAAGGUUUCCACUAGAAAAGCCCACAAGUUGUUUUAAGAUGCUUACAUGAACACAAAUUAGAAAGUGACAAGCCUUUCUUUAUUAUACAUUAGUGAGAAGGAGGAAGAGGGGCGUGAGGGAGAAGGAGGAAAAAGGGGGCGCAGAAAAGCAAUUGGAUGCUCUAUUCAGGAAAUGGUAUUCCUUUUUACCUCCAUCAGUGGAGAUGCAUUCUGCAAGCUUCUAGCUAGAAGAAGGUGCUUGUAGUUUUUUUCAGACCCUCUCUUUUCUAUUUAACUCUUCAGGCACCAAGUUUUCAUGAAUUUGCACACUUUCUAAAACUUUGGGAUGCCAGUGGAGACUAUUCUUUUCUUAUAGAAUGGUUUAUGGUGCCCUCUUUUGGAUUUCCAUUUAAAUUCCCAGGCUGGAGCAUGACCCCUGCCGCUCUGAGAUGAACCGAAGAAAUGUGACCAGAACUGGGUUUCCACACAGCUGGUUGCCUGUUUGGUUUGGUUUGGUAUAUGAGGAGUAGGGAUUCCAAUUCCCACUCAUGUCUGGCUAGUCCUGGGUCCUGAAAGGGACCAAGCUGGUGAUCCCUUCCAGCUUUCCCAUGUAUAGGGAGGAAUUGUAGGCUGGGGAUGAAAAGGUUGUCUCUGCGGCCGAGAACAGCCAGCAAAACUCCGCUCUCCUGUUAUUCCAGUUAGCUACCUGACUUCCGCUCUUCCCGUGGCUUUAUAAUGAAAAUUGUUCAAAUGAAGAUUUAUGACUUUAUUUUGGUGGGAUGUCUCAGGCGUUUGGUUUGAGGGAUGAAAUGCAUACUUAGCUUUCCACUCAUGCAUAGCCUAGCUAGUCUUUUCAUUACUGCAUUUGGCUCAGUCUUUGCCCAUCAAGCUCUGGCCUCCUUCCUAGGAUAAGUCAUGGCUUUGACUCCAGAGGCUGCCUGAGCCUCCUGCCCCUCUGAUGCUGCUUCCCUGGGCUGCCAGCGUUGGCCUGGAUCACAGGGCCAUUGUGUCAAUGUCCUUCAGUCUUCAACCUAGGAGAUGAAAUUUGAACUGCUCUUGGGGGCAGGAUGUCAGCUUCCUGGAAAAACAACAGACUCUGUCGCCUGGAACUGAGUGGCAACAUCCAAGCUGUGAGAAACAUUCUGAAAAUCGAAUGCUGUCUGUGGUCCUUAACACGGGUGGCCUGGUUCACCAGAGAUGGAACGGCUUUGCUUUGGGGGAAAAUUUUCCAGUCCCAACUGAACACAUUCUCAAAAUGCAGAGCAUUAUGGCCUCUUUGUUUUCCCUGCCUCGUGCAUGAAAGAAGAUACCUGCAAGCAAUUUCCUGUGCUGACAGAUCAGGAACGAAGUCUCUGAGCUCAAGGGCAAAUGGGAGAACUGCCUGCAUCAGGCUGGUCAUUGGGGAAGACUAAUGGCUACAAAGCACCAGCUGAAGAUAUCACCUGGUUAUUUAAAAACCUUUGUGUAGUACAAUGAGCCAAAUGGACGUUCUAUGCAGAGGACAAGGAACUAUUCAUUUCACUCAGGUUUAACUUUUCAGAAGAGCCCUUUUCAGAAGAGGGCCCCUCUAUUUUGAGAGCACUAAAUCCUCUUGGUGACUUUGGUAAAAGAGACAUGAAAUAACAGAGGAAGCAAAUGUGUUUCAGAUGGAAAUUAAUGGCUCUUGGAAUGGAAUGCCUGGUAAACAUCUGGUGUCCUUUUAUCUUGAAUGAAUGUCUGUCUCCCUUAGUUAAUAGAUUACACCUGUUGACCAACCAAACCUCUCCCUACAUCCAAAUGAAGGUGAAAACACUGAUGUAGAGGUCCCACCCCUAGAGAAAGAUCCUGAUACAAUCUCUUGGAUUUGCCCUGGGCUUGGGGAAAGUUUUUAAAGUUCCCAGGUGAUUUUAAUAUGCAGCCAAGAUUGAGAACCCCCGUGUAAACAGAAGGAGACUUUGAUAGAUUGGGGGAUAUAAUUUAUUCAUGCAGCAAAAAUUAAAACAAGCUAACUAGUGAUAUGAAUUGUUUAUAAAUAUUUUGUCAUGUGUUUAAAACAUUUUUAAAUGUUUACAUUGUUUACAUUAGAUUCUUAAAUUAUUUUUAUCAGAUUUAGACUUUAUAUUUGAUUUAUUGAGCUCUUGUCAGUAUUAUAAACAUAAUGAGGCAGAUGUUCUCCUGUCCAUUGUGUCAGUGAUGAGCAACUAUUAACAAACAAAAAUAAGAUGAGUCUACAUAUUGCUCACAGACCCAUGCGUGCCGUCCUUUCAGACUUUUCCCCAGGGGACAACCCUAUAGUGGAUUACCUCUGAUUGAGGACAAUCUGGGGUGGCCAUUUGACACAUUAUGUUUUCUAUUUUAUAACUGGUUUAUAUAGUCAUUUUUAAAAAAGAAUUAGAUAAAUAUAACUGGGUGACUGGCUGAGAGUCUGUCUUUGCAUGGUAGGAGGCAAUUUAACUUAUAUUAGGAGAAAUAUGGUUCUGGAAAAACCUAUUAAGUAGUCUGUGCUAGUCAAAGGCUCCUUGAAUUAAAGAAUGUCUGAACUGUGUUGCCAAUAAACCAUCCUCUUGUAGACAAUACUAUGCACUGAUACUUGCAACUGUCUUUACAACUUUGGUUUAAUGACUAUUAAGGCAUGACCACAAAACAAACAGGAAAAAGUAAUGCUGAAAAAGUAAUGCAGUAAUACCAUAGUUCCAACCUAAUGCAAACACAUAGAUCCAUAACCACCUCCCACAUAACCAACUAUGCCUGAAAACUCUUAAAUCUGUACAAGAUGUGUUUAUUUAAGACCUUUACUGGCUACCCUUGCAUCCAGCCAUGAAAUACAAGGAAUCUAUGAUUGA